rnacentral:lncRNA from 10 species
UAGAUUUAUUUAAUCAAUAAAAAUAUUGUUUUAAGACACGUGGUGUGGAAAAUAUUCGCAACAUGAUAAAAAGUGAAAAAAAUAAAAAAGUAAACAUUACUAUGUAUCGUAUGAUUGAAUUUUAGGGGUGUUUAUUCAAAGAGACAGAAAAAGAAAAGACUGAAACAUUACAUACAGUUUUCUAUGAGUGAUGAUAUGGAUUUACGGAUAAUUUUGUAUAUACUAUAGAGAUAAUACAAAGAGUUGCAUUGUGAAGUCAGAGGAACAUAAAAUCAGAAGUUUUACCCAAUGUCAAACUCAGGCGGUUGUGAAGCACAGACCAAGCAUGAAAAGUCCAGGAUUGUCAACACAGAUCCCUUUUAUCUUGCUGUUCUAGUAGGUGCUCUAAUGUAGAUUUAAUAUAUGAGGCAUUUAAAGGCUAUAUAUGGUCAUCACUUACACAAAAGGGAACUGGUUUAAUCACGAAAACAUCUCCAUUUUGUUCUCCAAUAUUUACAAAGCUUAUGUGACAUUUUCCAGGGAGCCAUACUUCAUAAGUCAAUAGAAUCCAGGAUUUUUCCUAUAAUUAAUAUUACACAGACCUGGCACAUCCUGCCGAAACCAUUCCAUAAAUGUGGACAAUCUCCUAGUCACUAUGAUAUUAGUGUGUUUGCCAAAAGAUUUGCAGUUGGCUUGCUUACAAGGAGAUUCUUCUCGUUUUCUUUUAUUUGUUUUAUGAGACAUUCACCAGUAAAGGACAGGAAUAGAUUGCAUGCCUGCUACAAACUCUUUCUACAAUACAAAUAAUUAUUUAAAAUUUUUUCCAGUGAUAGGCACUGUAAUAAGUAUUUCAUAUAUAGACUCUCAUUUACCGCUCAUAAUAAUCCUGUGGUGGAGGUGCUAGUAUUUAUCUCUAUUGGAGAUGAAGAAGCUGAUACUUGUAAUGAUUCAUUAUUUCUCACAUGAUCACAAAGCUAAAAUGUUUUGGAGCUGGAAGUCAAACACAGUCUGAUCCCAAAUUGACAUUCUUGGCCAUUGUGGUCACUGUUCAGUUUAUUUAUUUGAAAAGAUUCCAUGGCAUAUUUCUAUUUCUGUGAAGAUGAAGUACAUGUAUGUUUCCUAUUCUUCUAGCCAAACACAACUAAAAACUAUGGACGUUAUAUAUAAAAGAAAUGUUAAGAAUCCUCUGAAAUUUGGAGAGAAGGCUGAUCAGCUAGGGAUCUUUGGAUUCAAAGAACGACAUGAUGGUGAAUUUUCUCAGUUUUAUGUUUGCCCCAUAUAUCCAAGACUGGGUGCUGGAAAAGCCAGCAACCUACAUAGGUCAAUGGAUACAGACAAAAAAAGCCUGAACAAUAUUUUGCUCUCUAGCUGAGGACCAAAACUUGUAAAAACAGCCACUCUAUUCCAGCCAAACAUCACAGGAAAAACUGUAGCCUCAUUAUCGAACACAUUAGCAAAGGCUAAGUGGAUAGCCACAUUUCCACCAGCAUCAGAUUAAAAUAAGGUUGUCCAACGACAAUAUUGGGGUGGGGUCAGAGAAGCCUGAAUAGAGGGCCUGGAUUUAUCCUCACAAGGAUGAAAACCCUCCUCACUUUGGUGUCAGUGGAGACCACAUGGAGUUCUUGAAUUUCCAUCUCUAAAAGGUAGCAACAACUGCCUCUUUCCCUAAUGCCCCACAACACAAACACUGUUGGGAUGAGGUCAGAGGUGGUCGAAUAGAGAAUCAGGUAUCUCUUCACUAUUCAACGAUAAUAAGACUGCCACUCACUCCACUUCCUCAGAGUCAGUUUAGGCCUUAUGAGAAGGAGCAACAAGACACCCUCAGCUAUCCCAACCAGGAUGGCAUUGUGGAAGCCCAGUAGGAAGUUAAAAGACUCCCCACCAGUCUCUCUCUCUCUCUCUCUCUCUCUCUCUCUGUCUCUCUCUCUCUCCUGGUAGCAAUUUAAAGCCCCCAACUUGGGUGUAAACAGAGGUCAAGUGUUGAAUCUGGACUUAUAACUUCACGUGGCAAUAACAAGGGGCAAUGACAAUCCUCUGCCAUAAUGGUAUCAGAAAAGCCAGUUAAAAUAGGUUUUAAACUGACCAAGAGUUUCACAAUAUGCUACCAAUAAUGUUGAGGUUACCACUGAAAAUCCUUUAUUAUACUAAGAAUGAGGAAAACCUAAAUCUGAAUGAGAAAAAAAAAAUCAACUGAAGCUAACACUGAGAUGACAAAGACAUUAGAAUUACCUGAAAAGUAUUUUAAAGAAGCUAUCAUAAAAAUGCUUUAGUGAGCAACUAACACAUUUUAAAAAACUGAAAAAAUAGAAGGUCACAGCAAAUAUAUAAAAGAUAGAAAGUCAAAUUAAAUGGGAAAUUUUGCAACUGAAAAAUGCAAUAAAUUAAAUUUAUAAAGUCAAUGGAUGGGCUCAAGAGCAGAAAGGAGGGAACAAAGGAGAGAAUCAGUAAACUUGAAAACAAAAUAAUACAAAUUAUCCAAUUCGAACAACACAGAAAGUAGAGUGGAACAAAAAACAAAGUCUCAGGGACCUAUGGGUAUAUAGCAAAUAUUUAACAUUUGUGUCAGUGGAAUACUAAAAUGAAAGGAAAGAAAAAGGAGGUUAAGGCUGAAAAAUCAUUCAAAUAAUUAAUGGUUUUAAAGUUCCCAAAUUUAGCAAAAGAAAUAAACCCAGAGAUUCAAGAGACUAAGUGAACCUCAAAUAAUACAAAUGCAAGAAUUUCACACCCAUGCACAUCACAGACAAACUUGUGAAAAUAACAAAGAAAAAUCUUAAGAGCAGCCAAAGAGUCACAAUCUUACCUAUAAUAAAAAAAUAAUUUCAAUAGCAUCAGAUUUCCUAUCAGGACUCCUGGAGGCCAGAAUGAAGUGGCACAACAUUUUGCAAGUGCUGAAAGUAAACAUCUAACCCAGAAUCUUAUGUCUAGUAAAAUUAUAUUUAGGAAUAAAGGGGAUAUCAAGACAUUCUCAGAUGAGAAAAGCUAGAUAAUUUGUAAUCAAUCAGGCUUACUAUAAAGAAAUGAUUAAAUGAAGUUUUAAAAAUGAAAAUAACAUUAUAAUAGAAGACAUUUUGAAACAUUAAGAAAGAAAAGCAACCAAUGGAAGGAGAAAAAAUAAGAACAAAUACAUUAUCCCUUUUUUCUGAGUCUUAUGUUUGGCAGUUGAAACAAAAUCUAUAACACGGUAUGAUGUGGUUCUAAAUGUAUGUAGAAAAAUAUUUAAGCCAAUUACAUUAUAAAGGGCGGAGGGAAAAGAGACGCAAAUGGAGAUUUAUAAAAGGUUCAAGGGUUAUAAAAGGUUUUCACAAUUCAUUUGAACCGACAAAAUGAUAAAACCAGUCAACAAGAAUGUUAUGUAAUACCCAAAAAAGACAAAAAUGCCAUAAAAAGAAAUAGCUUAAGUGUACUAUAAAUAAGUCAAAAUGCAAUUCUAAAAAAAAGUUCAAGGGAUCAGUGGGGAGGCAGGGAAAAACAACAACAACAGAGAAAUAAAAACCAGUGAGAACAAACAGAAAACAUCCAAAAGAAAAAAAAAAUGAUGGGGUUAAGCCAUAACAUAUCAAGAAGUAUAUUACAUGUGAAUAGUCUAAAUAACACCAAUUAAAAUAUGAAGUUAAUUACAAAAUAUGAUCUAAAUAUGUACUAUUAGAAGUUCUGUUGAAUAUAGUGAAAUAUAUAAGUCAACAGUAAAAGAAUAAAAAAAAAUAUAUUGUGACCCAGUGCGGUAGCUCUUGCCUGUAAUCUCAGUAUUUUGGGAGGCCAAGGCAGGAGGAUUGCUUGAGGUCAGGAGUUCGAGACCAGCCUGGCCAACACGGCGAAAACCUGUCUUUACUAAAAAUACAACAAUUAGCUGAGCUUGGUGGCACAUGCCUGUAAUCCCAGCUACUUGGAAGGCUGAGGCAUGAGAAUCACUUGAACGUGGGAGGUGGAGGUUGCAGUGAGCCGAAAUCACACCACUGUACUCCAGUCUGGGUGAGACAGCCAGACCCUGUCUCAAAAAAAUGAAAAAAGAUAUACUGCCCAAACAUUAAACAAAAAGAAAGAGACUAUAUCAAUGUCAGAUUAACUAGACUUCAGAACAAAGAAAAUAACAAAAGACAGAGAAGGAUGUUAUAUAAUGAUAAAAGAGUCGAUCCUCCCAUAGAAAUUCAAAAUGUUAAUGCACCAAUUAACAGAGCUUCAAAAUAUGUGAAGAAAAACUGAAUGAACUGAAGGAAAAAGUAGAGGAAACCAACAAUUACAUUUCAAGACUUCAAUACCUUACUUUGUAAUUGAUAGAACUAGUAGACAGUAAAUCUUACUAAUAUACUUAUAGCAGAUGUAGAUAUAUUUGUCUUAUAUAUCUCUCAUAUAUAUGUAUUUUUCAUAUAAUAUAUCAUAUGUAUCAUAUAUGACAUAUAUCUCAUAAAAAUAUAAUAUAUAAUAUGUCAUAUAUCAUGUAUAUUUAUGAUACCUAUGAGAUAUGUGUGACAUAUUAUAUAAGGUAUAUAUAUAGAAGAUAUAGAUAUAAGACAACUCAACAACACUAUCAACCAACAGGAUCUAAUUGAUAUUUAUAGAACACUUCACCCAACAACAGCAGAAUAGAGCCUUUCUAGUGUCCACACAAUGUGUCAGAAAAACCACCACAUUCUGGUGUAUAAAAAAAGGCUCAAAAAAUUUAAAAUAAUUGAAAUCAUUUAGAAUUGUAUUUUUUUCAUUUAUUUGCGACUCAAAUAAAAAUAAACUAGAUAUCAAUAGCAACAACAAAAAAAAAAUACAGAAAAAUAUGUAAAAACUGGAAACUAAACAAUAUACUUACAAAUAAUCCACAUGUCAAAGAAGUCCCAAGGGAAAUCAAUUUUAAAAUACAUUGAAAAUGAAAUUAUUAAUGCAAUAUACCAAAUUUGUGUGGCAAAGUUAUGGCAGUGCUGAGAGGAAAAUGUAUAGAAUUAAAUGCACAGAUUAGAAAAAAGAAAAUAAACUUAAAUCAAGGAUCUAAGACUCCAUAUUAAAAACUUAGAAAAAAAAAGAUCAAAAUAAAGGCAAAGAAAGAAGAAAGGUAAUAAAAAUAAAAGCAGAAAUCAAUAAAAUUGAAAACAGAUAAAUAAUAGAGAAAAUCAAUAAAACAAGAAGUUCGUUAUUUGAAAGUAAAGUAAGGUUGACAAUUUCUAGAAAGACUGACAAAUAAGAGAUAAGACACAAAUUGCCAAUAUUAGAAAUGAAACGGGAUAUCUAGAGCCUGCAGACAUCAAUAUGAUAAGAAAUGAUACUACCAAAAAAAAAAACUCUAUACCUAAAAUUAGAACACUUAGAUAAGCAUCAAUUAGUUCCUUAAAAACACAAAUAGCUACAAUUCUCCCAAUAUAGCAAUUUGAAUAGUUCUAAAACUAUUAAAGACCCACAAAUGUUACAUUUAUAAUUUAAAACCACUCCCAAAGGAAAUAUAGCCAAGCUAUUUCAUUGGAAAAUUCAACCAACAGCUUAAAGAAGAAUUUCUGUACAAUUUCUUUCAGAAAAAAGAAAAGGAGAGAGCAUUUUCCAAUUCAUUUUAUGAAGCUAUUAAUGCACUGAUUCCAAAGCAAAGUCAGUACGGAAGAAGAAAAUUGCAGACCGAUGUCCUUCAUAAAUAUAGACUCAAAACUAACAAAAAUAGAAGAAAUAGAAUUCAGCAAUAAAUAAAAAGAAUUAUACACCAAGAUCAAGUAGAUCUUAUUUUAGGGAUGCAAAAAUGCUUCAAUAUUUGAAAAUCAAUGAAUAUAAGCCACCAUAUUAAUAGGCUAAAUAUUUUUUUGAAAAUCACAUUAUUGUAUCAAUUCAUGCAGAAACAAUACAUUUCACUUAAUGCAAUACUUUUUUAGAAACAAAAUAGAAACAAAACUCUCAGAAAAAUAAGAAUAGAGAAAACCUCUUCAACUUGAUAAAAAUAUGUAAAAAAUAUUACAGCUAACAUUAUAUUUAAUGGUGAAAGAAUGUAUGCUUUACUUCUAAGAUGAGAAGCCAGGAAAAGUAUCUGUUCUCACUACCUUUUUCAACAUAGUACUGGAAAUUCAAGCAUGGGAAAUAAGGCAAUAAAAUAAAAUAAAAUGCAUAUAUCAAUAGAUUUAAAAUGAAGAAAAAAUGAUCUCUACUUGCAGAUGACAUGAUUGUUUAGGUAGAAAAUCCCAAGAAAUCUUUAAAAUAUUUCCGAGAGCUAAUAACUAGGUUCAGCAAGACUUCAGGAACACAAGGUAAAAAUACAAAAAUUAAUAGUAUUUCUAUAUUCUAGCAAUGAACAUGUGGACAGUGAAUUUAAAAAUAAAAAUAGCAUUUACAAUCUUAAAAAUAAAAUUAACUCAUAAAAAUAAAUUGAGAUUGAUGUAUUUUUGAAGAGAGAGAUACUUGACAUUAGAUUCAAUUUUUUUUUAACUUUUGUUUUAGGUUUGGGGGUACAACUGAAGUGUGCUACAUAGGUAAACAUGUGUCACGAGGGGGUUGUUGUACAUCCUAUUUUAUCACCCAGGUAUAAAGCCCAGUACCAAAUAGUUAUCUUUUCUGCUCCUUUCCCCCCUUCCACCCUCCACCCUCAAGUAGAACCCAGUGUCCAUUGUUUCCUUCUUUGUGUUCAUAAGUUCUUAUUAUUUAGCUCCCACUCGUAAGUGAGAAUGUGUGGUGUUUGGUUUUCUGUUCUUGCAUUAGUUUGCUGAGCAUAAUAGCCUCCAGCUCCAUCCAUGUUCCCACAAAAGACAUGAUCUGGUUCUUUUUUUAUGGCUGCACAGUAUUCUAUGGUAUAUAUGUAUCUUUUCUUUAUCUCAUCUGUCAUCGAUGGACACUUAGGUUGACACCACGUCUUUGCUAUUGUGAAAAGUGCUGCAAUGAACAUUUGCAUACAUGUAUCUUUAUGGUAGAAUGAUUUAUAUUCCUCUGGGUAUAUACCCAAUAAAGGGAUUGUUGGAUAGAAUGGUAGUUCCGUUUUCAGCUCUUUGAGGAAUCAUCAUACUGCUUUUCAAUGGUUGAACUAAUUUACACUCCCACCAACAGUGUGUGAGUGUUCCCUUUUCUCUGCAAUCUUGUGAGCAUCUGUUAUUUUUUGACGUUUUAAUAGCCAUUCUGAUUGGUGUGGGAUGAUAUCUCAUUAUGGUUUUGAUUUGCAUUUCUGUAAUGAUCAGUGAUAUUGAGCUUUUUUCAUAUGCUUAUUGGCUGAAUGUAUGUUUUCUUUUGAAAAAUGUCUGUUCAUGUUCUUUGCCCAUCUUUCAAUGGGGUUGUUAGUUUUUCUUUUGUAAAUUUUUCUAAGUUCCUUAUAGAUGUUGGAUAUUAGAUCUUUGUCAGAUGCAUAGUUUGCAAAAAUUUUCUCCCAUUCUGUAGGUUGUCUGUUCACUCUGAUGAUAGUUUCUUUUACUGUGCAGAAUCUCUUGGACACAGCUCAGGUAUUGUUAGGAAGGAAAUUCAUAGCACUAAAUGCCCACAUCAAAAAAUUAGAAACAGCUCAAAUUAAACCUAACUUCAAAAUGGAAAGAAUUAGAGAAACAAGAACAAAUCAACUCCAAGGCUAGCAGAAGACAAUAAAUAACACAAAUCAGAUCUGAACUGGAGGAAAUCAAGACCCACAAAAAAUUCAAAAGAGCAAUGGAUUCAGGAGCUGGUUUUUAGAAAAAAUUAAUAAAAUAGACUACUAGCUAGAUUAAUAAAGAAGAAAAGAGAUAAGUCCCAAAGAAACACAACUUCUUAGAUGAAUUUUAUUGGUUCAUUCGGCUUUUCUAUUACUUCUGGAGUCCAUUUCAGAAAUUUGCAUUUUCUAAUACAUUUUUCACUUUAUAUAAUUUUAAAAUGUGUUUACACAAAUAUUUUUCAAUUUAUGAUUUUAAAAAUUUCUAUCCUGUUUUCAUCUGUUCCCUUUUGUCAAGUUUUUAUUUGUGUAAUUUCUCUUAUUUUCUUAGUCUUCAUUUUUUUAUAUUGCUAGUUUUAUUUUAGGAAUAUUUAUGUCAUAGGCUUAUGCUUUUUUUUAAGUUUUAUAUUGCUAAAUGCUUGAUGCAAAGGAAAUGUGCCAAAGCCAAAAUUUACAAAUUCAAAUAAACUAGAAAUAAUUAUUUCUUGAUAUUUAACAUAAUUGUUUUUCUACCAAAAUACAAACAUUUUUUCUUUACCCAAAUUCAAACAGACUGUGUAAUAUAUUAUUUACUUUUUAAAUUAAUGUUUUCAAAUUUUCAACAUUUCUUAUUUUGUAUAGUGUCUACUCAUAUUUAAUUUUUCUGGUAUUUUCUUCAGUAGUAUCUCUCUAAAGAAUUAUUUGUUUACUCAUUAUGUUUAUUUUACAGUAAAUCUUUGAGUAGACUUAUAAUUGAUGUUUUAAAAUUUUUAUCUGGUAUUUUCACAUCUCUGCCAUUUGGGAUCUAUUCUAUUAACUAAUUAUUUUGUAACUAAUGAUCAUACUUUACUGUUUCUUUGAAUGUCUAGUAAUUUUUUAUUAGAUAUGGGACAUUGUUAAUAUUACAUUGAUGAGUAUCUUGGUUCUGUUUUCUCUGUGUAGACAGUGUUGAAAUUCAUUUUAAGAAGGUGUUAAACUACUUGUAGAUUAUCUUCAUCGCAUCAAGCCUCAUUUGUGAGAUUUAAUAGAGCAGGCCCAGGGUAGCCUUUGCCUUUGAGUAGGUUAGCCCUACUUACCAGAGUGUGAACCUCUGGUAUCAUUAGGUGUUACAAGCAUUAAACUACAUGUUUCCACCUUGGUCCACUAGAAAUUAAAUAUCCACCAGCCCUGUAUGAGCUGUAGGGCCCAUUUAGCUCACAGGUCCCCAGUCACACCUUGCCUGUCAUUAUAAACUUUCAUUCAAUAUAUAUGUGGCACUGUAACCCUUAGGCAGAUUUCUAGAGCUUUUUCUCAGCAUAUAUCCCUCCCUUCUGGUGUUGCGCUACAUACAUCAUCUUAGCCUUCAAACACUUUAUCUUUGUUUUCUCAAAUUAGUGAGGCUAGCAUUCUCUGCUUAGAUUGCCUCUCUCUAUGUUGAGGCCUGAAAAGUGCUUCAAAGGAUAAAAUCAGUCUUAUUUUAGGAUUUACAUUGUUUUACUUCUCUCAGGUAGGAUACUCCAGUGUUGCAUGCUGUCCAAAGCCUGAAAAAAAUAUUUUUAUAUAUUUGGCUUAGUAUUCUAGUUGUUUAUGGAAGAAGAAUCUAAUACCAAAUCUAAUAUUAUGGCCAUAUGCAGAAUUUCAGAGGUUAUUAUUUUAAUAAAAUAAGAUUAAAUACUAAUAAAAUUAUUAGCAAUGUGCUUGCUUCUUAUCUCAUUAGUGUAAAAUUAUUAAUCAGUGUUUUUAUGGCAAGAAAAAUUGACUCAUUUUUUUCAGUAUAAAGAUCUUGAAAAGUGAGAAGAGACUUUAUGAAGCCUAAAUGGAGAGCCCUGAAAUUUUACAUAUAAUUUUAUUUUUAUUCCUAAUAUGGAUAUAUGCAGAUUUAGAGCUACGUAUUCUGAUAUAUCAGUCUGAGUUCCUUCAGGAGGUAGAAUCUCCAUAGUAGAUUAAACAGG